GUCAUGAGAAAAGAGCUAUGUGCAGGUCGCCCUGUGCUCCAUCCUCGAUCCAGCUCAGUCAUCUCCCUCUCAUCCUCUCUCUCUGCUCCGCGUGUGUGUGUAGGGAGUGGGAGGAGAUGAAGCAGGGGAGUGGGAGGCCCUUCCAUGGCAAUUCAUAGGCAUCUUCCAUGGAGAUUGUUGUGCGUCUACUACUCAAAAGUCCACAAUAGUUCAACGAAAAAUGUCUACAUCAGUUUCAACUCAAAAAGACCAUAGAUGAAGAAAAAGACCACCAGCACGUUUUGGUCCACACAGGCCAUCAGAGGAAGAAAAAAAGGUUUCUUCAUUCAGUUCCGGUUGCUCUAGGAUUUCUCCAUGCUCUGGAGGGAAGUAACUGACUUGUGGUUUGGAGUCGUACCUACUGUAUAACAAAUAUGUGUCACCAAAUAUGUGUUGAAUACUGUUGAUUGGAGGGAUGUGCAUUGUUGGAGAACUGUUGUUUGGUACCUAAUGGAAUUUGCACAUCACUUGUUCUCAUUUUUUGGGUGAAAGUUUGCUUCGUAUUGCAUAACUGCUGCAGUAUACCUUCUAUGCAUGGCAAUGUAAACAUACAAAAUAUAUAUGCUACUCCUGGAAGGGCUGAUGUAGUGAACAAUUUUCUACCAUGGCAAUUUUCCUGAAAGGGCUGCUGUAGUGAACAUGGUGCCAACUUGUUGCUAGUUAUAUUGAAAGUCCACCUUGCAAAACAACAUCAGUUCUCUCAUGAACAUGCGUCGGUUCAAGGGGUGGACAUGCAUCGGUUCAAGGGUUACAAAGUAAAAAAAGCAAUGUAUACACAGACCCCAUAACAAUGUUUCCUUCUAUAAAAAAAUAUUUAACUAGGUAAUGCAAGGCAUUGCACUGGUUCAAUAUAGUCAAAAAAACCUAAUAGUUCAACCGAGACCAUUGGGAGGUUCAAUGAAUACAAUAUGACGGUUAGAAAAAAGAUAGCAUGUUUUAUGAAAAAUGUGCUUUGGUCCAUGAAAACAUACUCCGUACAAAUCCAUGCGGAGAUCAGUUUGGGUACUCUAUUUUUGAAUGAAAAAAAAACACAAACGGUCUCACCGUAUUCAAAAAUAUUUAUGAAAAAUACCUCAAUACAAACACACAAAUAGAUCAGUACGAGUACUCUGUUUUUCGACUGGAAAGACAACACGAUGGGUCUCACCGUAUUCAAAAUCACUAUUCAACGGUUGCGAAUUUGAGAAAAUAUUCAACAUGAUUAAGUUCCGCAUUUUUGAUAUAUUUCCAACGGUAUAUUAUUUGCCCUAUUUCGAUAAUUUUUUAAACAAAUCGUGUUUAAAACAUAAGGAAUUAGAAAAACAUUUAUAUACAAAAAAGUUGCGCAUUUUCCGUUGCUUCUUGAUCCAGCUGAGAGAACCCUCAUGUUAAAAAGUAUAAAAGCAGUUUUGAAGCAAUUUCUAGUGUCUUUAGAAGCAUUCAUGGUUAAAAAACAAAA